ACGCUGCUGCUUCACCUCCACAUCUGGAGACAGAAAAACACAGAGACAUUAACACGCUGCAUGCUUCACCUCCACAUCUGGAGACAGAAGACACAGAGACA